AUUGAACGCUGGCGGCAGGCCUAACACAUGCAAGUCGAACGAGUGGCGGACGGGUGAGUAAUGUCUGGGAAACUGCCUGCUGGAGGGGGAUCACUACUGGACACGGUAGCUAAUACCGCAUACCAUCAGAUGGGCCCAGAUGGGAUUAGAUUGUUGGUGGGUUAACGGCUCACCCAGGCGACGAUCCCUAGCUGGUCUGAGAGGAUGACCAGCCACACUGGAACGGAGACACGGUCCAGACUCCUACGGGAGGCAGCAGUGGGGAAUAUUGCACAAUGGGCGCAAGCCUGAUGCAGCCAUGCCGCGUGUAUGAAGAUGGCCUUCGGGUUGUAAAGUACUUUCAGCGGGGAGGCGUUACCCGCAGAAGAAGCACCGGCUAACUCCGUGCCAGCAGCCGCGGUAAUAC
rnacentral:rRNA from 1 species